rnacentral:rRNA from 1 species
AUUGAACGCUGGCGGCAGGCCUAACACAUGCAAGUCGAACGGUAACAGGGAUCAGCUUGCUGAUUCGCUGACGAGUGGCGGACGGGUGAGUAAUGUCUGGGAAACUGCCUGAUGGAGGGGGAUAACUACUGGAAACGGUAGCUAAUACCGCAUAACGUUGCAAGACCAAAGAGGGGGACCUUCGGGCCUCUUGCCAUCGGAUGUGCCCAGAUGGGAUUAGCUAGUAGGUGGGGUAACGGCUCACCUAGGCGACGAUCCCUAGCUGGUCUGAGAGGAUGACCAGCCACACUGGAACUGAGACACGGUCCAGACUCCUACGGGAGGCAGCAGUGGGGAAUAUUGCACAAUGGGCGCAAGCCUGAUGCAGCCAUGCCGCGUGUAUGAAGAAGGCCUUCGGGUUGUAAAGUACUUUCAGCGGGGAGGAAGGGAGUAAAGUUAAUACCUUGGCUCAUUGACGUUACCCGCAGAAGAAGCACCGGCUAACUCCGUG